UUCAGAAACACUUAGCACGGUUCUGGUGGGGAUCAGCCAUCAGAGGAAACGGGGAAAGUUUGGUGCAAGCCCAACGCUGUCCCGCAACUGUGAAAGAGCUGCUCCUUGGCGCUCUUCAGCCAGAAUGCCCGCCGCUGCUUCUACCAUGCUC
rnacentral:ncRNA from 2 species